rnacentral:snRNA from 1 species
GUGCUUGCUUCGGCAGCACAUAUACUAAAAUCGGAACAAUACAGAGAAGAUUAGCAUGGCCCCUGUGCAAGAAUGACAUGAAAAUUCAUGAAGCAUUCCAUAUUUUU